GACGGAGGAGGCAAGCGUUGUCCGGAUUGACUGGGCGUAAAGCGCGUGUAGGCGGGACCUUAAGUCGGUGGUGAAAUCCUCUGGCUCAACCAGAGAACUGCCACCGAAACUGAGGUUCUUGAGGGCAGGAGAGGAGAGUGGAAUUGCUGGUGUAGCGGUGAAAUGCGUAGAGAUCAGCAAGAACACCCGUGGCGAAGGCGACUCUCUGGACUGCUCCUGACGCUGAGACGCGAAAGCCAGGGGAGCGAACGGG
rnacentral:rRNA from 1 species